rnacentral:rRNA from 1 species
AAAUUGAAGAGUUUGAUCAUGGCUCAGAUUGAACGCUGGCGGCAGGCCUAACACAUGCAAGUCGAACGGUAACAGAAAGAAGCUUGCUUCUUUGCUGACGAGUGGCGGACGGGUGAGUAAUGUCUGGGAAACUGCCUGAUGGAGGGGGAUAACUACUGGAAACGGUAGCUAAUACCGCAUAACGUCGCAAGACCAAAGGGGGGGACCUUCGGGCCUCUUGCCAUCGGAUGUGCCCAGAUGGGAUUAGCUUGUUGGUGGGGUAACGGCUCACCAAGGCGACGAUCCCUAGCUGGUCUGAGAGGAUGACCAGCCACACUGGAACUGAGACACGGUCCAGACUCCUACGGGAGGCAGCAGUGGGGAAUAUUGCACAAUGGGCGCAAGCCUGAUGCAGCCAUGC